rnacentral:rRNA from 1 species
UUUAUAGUAUGAAAAUUGGUGGAUUUAUAAUAACUUAGCAAAUCGCAAAGUGAAAACAGGCGAUAAAUCAUUCAAGUUUCUGACCUAUCAGCUUUCGACGGUAUGGUAUUGGCUUACCGUGGCAGUGACGGUUAACGGGGGAUUAGGGUUCGAUUCCGGAGAGGGAGCCUGAGAAACGGCUACCACAUCUAAGGAAGGCAGCAGGCGCGCAAAUUACCCAAUUCUAACAGUUUGAGAGAGGUAGUAACAAGAAAUAACAAUACAAGGCAGUUAAAAUGCUUUGUAAUUGGAAUGAUAGAAAUUUAAACCCUUUUUAAAGUAUCAAUUGGAGGGCAAGUCUGGUGCCAGCAGCCGCGGUAAUUCCAGCUCCAAUAGCGUAUAUUAAAAUUGUUGCAGUUAAAAAGCUCGUAGUUGAAGUUCUGCUGAAAGUAACCGGUCUGCUUUUAAUAAAAGUGGUAUCUUGGUAUGUAUUUAGCAAUGAUGUCCUUUGAAGUGUUUUUUACUUUAUUGUAAUAAAGCAUAUUCAGGACUUUUACUUUGAGAAAAUUAGAGUGUUUCUAGCAGGCUAACGCUUUGAAUACUGCAGCAUGGAAUA